UAAUAAGAUAAAUAACAGAACACACAUAAAAGAAAAAGUGCUAUUAAUACCAGAACUCGGAACUGAAUUCAGGCCUCCUGGCUGCAAAUUCUAAGCUUCCCCUGUUAGAUUGAUGGAACCAGGAUCUGACAUGAGGACUGAAAUUCUGGGUGUGUGAGGCCAUUAUUAUCAGUUGGCUCCAUCUGGAAUUGAUCCAGGUCUUGUAGGCUAAUAGGCUCUGGGGAAAAGGAAAAACCAAUAAAUAACUGACCAACUGGUUGCAGAAUAUUGUUUUUUAUUCCCUCAGAGAUUCUCUUUCAGUUGCUCCAAGGUCAGAUUUGACCAUCCUCUGAGGGAAGACACAUCCGUUCUUUUUUGCCUCCUUUUCCCCAGCUCUUGCUGGACUCCUCCUCUGAUUCCAUCAACAUCAUCACCUGUCCCUGCUGCCACCACCAUCCACAACAGGGACAGAAGUCGGCAGGAAGAAAGGAAAAGAUACAGGGGUGAAAACUCAAGCCUGAACAUCUAGAAAUCCACGGUUCCCAAACUGUUGAAGCCUGGCUUGGAGAAUUUUGAGCAUUACUUUGCUAGCAUAUGAGAUGAGUGCAAUUGUGUGGUAGUUUGAAGAUUCUUUGGCAUUGCCCUUCUUUGGAUUGGAAUGAAACAGAACUUUUCCAGUGCUGUGGCCACUGCUGAGUUUUAGGAGAAACUAAUAUGGUUCCCUGAUUCUGAUUUCCUUUACCUGCUGUCAGCUCUGCCAUGAGGAGUGGUCUACACUUGGGUACAGGAUGUUUUGAAAAAGCACUGGAUGUAGACUUUCAGACUUGGACUUUGCUUGAACUGUGUUAACUGGGCAAGCUAUUCAUCUCCCAUGGUUCUGUUUAUUUCCCCUAAAUGGAGGGUUAGAUUACGACCCUGCGGGUCUCUUCGGUACCAGUGGUCUUGGAUCUGAGCAUGCGCCUCUGAGCACGGAGUCACAGGCGCAGCAUUCACGUCGGAGGACACCCCGCUCAGCACACUCGUCCUCCAGGUGCUGAGAUACAGCCGCUCGACGCUAACAAGCACCAAACUUGUGCUGAGAAAAUUCCUGAAUGAAUUUCAGAAUCAAACACAAGUGACUCUGGGGUUGCCCCAGCCUGGGUUCAACACACCCUGCCUGGGCUCCAGAGUCUCCAGCGCCAGCUCCCAGACCAGCACUGACACACUCCCAGCAUCUCUGCGUGUCCCGCCCUCCUCUCACACUCUGAGCCCUUGGAACGUGGGUCUGUGCAGGUGUCUGGAUGUGACCCCUGGAGAAACCUUGGUUGAAUUCAUGCUCCUGUAAGGCUCAACUGAUAAGAGCUGAGCAGCCUCACCAUUCAGCUUUGAUUGAACCUCUUCUUUAUGUCUUGACUUGGUUUCAGGGCUUUCCACACACUGUUUCAACAGAGCUGAACCCUCAAGAGACAUUAACCAGAAAUUAUUAAACUACAACGUCAUCCCUGAACCCACUGUGCCUGAUUGCACCGCAUACCUUCUUGCACACUAACUCCUGACUGCUUGCAAUGUCAUUAUUUUCUUUUCCUUUUUGUCUUUGAUGAUUAUCCUACUCAUCCACGUGGGUGAAGUUCUAUCCAAAGUUCCACCUCAUUCAUUAAACUCUAACUACUGGGGUGUCUGGCCCAUGAACUUUAGGAAACUAUUCCUCUGCUUCACCUGUAGCCAUUAAGGAGGUUCCAGUCUGGGACAUCUCUGCACAUGCAUCAGUGUCCAUAAGGAGUUCCCAGAAGUAGGGGAGUAUCAUCCACCAGUCAUUGUCAGCCCUCUAAUGACCAGCACUAGGUUUUAAUCUGGUUCCCCAUCUCCAGAGCCCCCAAAUUAUUUGCUAAGCAUGCAUCCAUGAGCAGUGAGAUUGCUGGAUUAAUACUUAAUUAAUGGCACACAGACCCCAGCCUUCAUUCUCAGGUGAUGACUUGUGUUCACUCACCUGCCUCACCUGAUGCUACGGGAACCCCGUCCAGAGGGCCUCUCGCUCCUGAGGACUGGGGAGAGGUGGAGAGCAUCGCUCUCCUGCUUUCUCCCAGGCUCCUGCCUGCUUUCAUCAAUGGGUGCUCUCUGUUCAGACCAGUCUCCAGCCUUUGGCUGUGAUAUCAGCGCACAUUUCUCAGAUUUAGUGGGAAAUCCUCACCUGACUCGUCAAGAGCUUGGUCUCAUCGUCAAAAUAGUUUGGCUCCUCCAUCAACCACACAAGAUUCUGCCCUCCCUGCCUCACUGUUCUGGAGGAUGAAAGUUCCUGAUGAAAGUGUCCAUCCUCAAACCAGAGGCAGUAAGUGCAGGGACUCCUGACCUGGUUCAGACACAGCCGUGCAGAAAUACCGCAGAGCUUGAUCCUGAGGUCAGAACCAGUGGAUCGAAGGUGCAGGGCUGGCAAGCAGGCUGGAGACUCAGGGAAGGAUCGAUGUUACAGAGUCCAAAGGUGGUCCGGACAAAAGUGUGGCUGGCCUGACUCUCUUCACUCUGAGAUUUAGGAAAAUCGUCAAGUGUGAGGACGCACAUUCUCUGCUCCAGGACCCAUCAUAUGUCGACUGAACUGUUCUGCCAUAGAAAUGCCACCACUGGAAAAGAUGGGCUGACAUGUACGGACAAUUCUUCCCACAGCAAAUAGCUGAAAAUGCCAUGGAAAAUACAAAAACUGUUUUCAAAGCAUCAAAGAGGCGACAAAGUCCUAAUAGAUGACCACACAUCUCAAAAGAAGGCUAAGAUUCCGCUUGGCCUCCACAGGGAACCCGGUCCUGAGAAGAAAAGAAAAGACCGUGUGAGUCACUGCCCGGAGCCCAGACACGGAGCCCAGGACGUCCAGCCUCGUGUCCCCAGCUCUUCACUUGCCUCCCACCUGCCUUCUUUCUUAAAAAUUUAAAUAAGCUUUAUAAUUCUGAUUAUGAUGUAUAUGUAUAACACAGGAUAUAAUAAAGAUUCACUGUAAAAUAAGUUACAAAGGGUUGAAAGUGAUAAAGGACAAAAGAACUGUAAUCCUCACACAGGAGAUAUUUGGUUGCACUUACUUACCAGUUUACUUUCA